rnacentral:rRNA from 1 species
UACGAAGGGGGCUAGCGUUGCUCGGAAUUACUGGGCGUAAAGGGCGCGUAGGCGGGAUGGCAAGUCGGUCGUGAAAUCCCUCGGCUCAACCGAGGAACGUCGAUCGAUACUGCUGUUCUUGAGGAUUGCAGAGGAGACUGGAAUUCCCGGUGUAGCGGUGAAAUGUGUAGAGAUCGGGAGGAACACCGGUGGCGAAGGCGAGUCUCUGGACAGUUACCGACGCUGAGGCACGAAGGCCAGGGGAGCAAACGGG